UAAGUACUCCCUCCGUCCCAAAAUUCUUGUCUUAGAUUUGUCUAGAUAAGAAUUUUCUAGACAAACCUAAGACAAGAAUUUUGGGACGGAGGGAGUAAUAA
rnacentral:pre_miRNA from 1 species